rnacentral:rRNA from 1 species
CUUAAGCGGGGAAUAACGCAUCGAAAGGUGUGCUAAUACCGCAUAAUCUCUGAGGAGAAAAGCAGGGGAUCGCAAGACCUUGCGCUUUUGGAGCGGCCGAUGUCUGAUUAGCUUGUUGGUAAGGUAAAAGCUUACCAAGGCUUCGAUCAGUAGCUGGUCUGAGAGGACGACCAGCCACACUGGGACUGAGACACGGCCCAGACUCCUACGGGAGGCAGCAGUGGGGAAUUUUGGACAAUGGGGGCAACCCUGAUCCAGCCAUGCCGCGUGAGUGAAGAAGGCCUUCGGGUUGUAAAGCUCUUUCAGCCGGAACGAAACGGUUACGGUUAAUACCCGUGACUACUGACGGUACCGGAAGAAGAAGCACCGGCUAACUACGUGCCAGCAGCCGCGGUAAUACGUAGGGUGCGAGCGUUAAUCGGAAUUACUGGGCGUAAAGCGUGCGCAGGUGGUUUUGUAAGUCAGAUGUGAAAUCCCCGGGCUCAACCUGGGAACUGCGUUUGAAACUACAAGGCUAGAGUGUGGCAGAGGGGGGUGGAAUUCCGCGUGUAGCAGUGAAAUGCGUAGAGAUGUGGAGGAACACCGAUGGCGAAGGCAGCCCCCUGGGUCAACACUGACGCUCAGGCACGAAAGCAUGGGGAGCAAACAGGAUUAGAUACCCUGGUAGUCCAUGCCCUAAACGAUGUCAACUAGUUGUCGGGCCUUAACGGGCUUGGUAACGUAGCUAACGCGUGAAGUUGACCGCCUGGGGAGUACGAUCGCAAGAUUAAAACUCAAAGGAAUUGACGGGGACCCGCACAAGCGGUGGAUUAUGUGGAUUAAUUCGAUGCAACGCGAAAAACCUUACCUACCCUUGACAUGUAUCGAAGCCCGCAGAAAAGCGGGGGUGCCCGAAAGGGAACGAUAACACAGGUGCUGCAUGGCUGUCGUCAGCUCGUGUCGUGAGAUGUCGGGUUAAGUCCCGCAACGAGCGCAACCCUUGUCAUUAAUUGCCAUCAUUUAGUUGGGCACUUUAAUGAGACUGCCGGUGACAAACCGGAGGAAGGUGGGGAUGACGUCAAGUCCUCAUGGCCCUUAUGGGUAGGGCUUCACACGUAA